rnacentral:rRNA from 1 species
GACGAACGCUGGCGGCGUGCUUAACACAUGCAAGUCGAACGGAAAGGCCCUGCUUUUGUGGGGUGCUCGAGUGGCGAACGGGUGAGUAACACGUGAGUAACCUGCCCUUGACUUUGGGAUAACUUCGGGAAACUGGGGCUAUAACCGGAUGGGGGCUCCUGUGGCAGGGGGGGGGUGGGAAAUUUUGGGCGGUUGGGGUGGGACCCGCGGCUUUUCAGCUUGUUGGUGGGGUAGUGGCUUACCAAGGCUUUGACGGGUAGCCGGCCUGAGAGGGUGACCGGCCACAUUGGGACUGAGAUACGGCCCAGACUCCUACGGGAGGCAGCAGUGGGGAAUAUUGCACAAUGGGCGGAAGCCUGAUGCAGCAACGCCGCGUGCGGGAUGACGGCCUUCGGGUUGUAAACCGCUUUCGCCUGUGACGAAGCGUGAGUGACGGUAAUGGGUAAAGAAGCACCGGCUAACUACGUG